rnacentral:rRNA from 1 species
GAUGAACGCUGGCGGCGUGCCUAAUACAUGCAAGUCGAGCGAACAGACGAGGAGCUUGCUCCUCUGACGUUAGCGGCGGACGGGUGAGUAACACGUGGAUAACCUACCUAUAAGACUGGGAUAACUUCGGGAAACCGGAGCUAAUACCGGAUAAUAUAUUGAACCGCAUGGUUCAAUAGUGAAAGACGGUUUUGCUGUCACUUAUAGAUGGAUCCGCGCCGCAUUAGCUAGUUGGUAAGGUAACGGCUUACCAAGGCAACGAUGCGUAGCCGACCUGAGAGGGUGAUCGGCCACACUGGAACGGAGCCACGGUCAAGACUCCUACGGGAGGCAGCAGUAGGGAAUCUUCCGCAAUGGGCGAAAGCCUGACGGAGCAACGCCGCGUGAGUGAUGAAGGUCUUCGGAUCGUAAAACUCUGUUAUUAGGGAAGAACAAAUGUGUAAGUAACUAUGCACGUCUUGACGGUACCUAAUCAGAAUGCCACGGCUAACUACGUG